rnacentral:tRNA from 1 species
GGGGAUGUGGCUCAGUUAGUUAGUAGAGCACUUGCCUAGCAUGCAAGAAGCCCUGGGUUUGAUCCUCAGCGCCUCA